UACGGGGGGAGCAAGCGUUGUUCGGAUUUACUGGGCGUAAAGGGCGCGUAGGCGGUCGUGACAAGUCACUUGUGAAAUCUCCGGGCUUAACUCGGAACGGUCAAGUGAUACUGUCGGACUAGAGUACAGAAGGGGCAACUGGAAUUCUCGGUGUAGCGGUGAAAUGCGUAGAUAUCGAGAGGAACACCGAUGGCGAAGGCAGGUCUCUGGGCCGAUACUGACGCUGAGGAGCGAAAGCGUGGGGAGCGAACAGG
rnacentral:rRNA from 1 species